UACGGGGGGGGCAAGCGUUGUUCGGAAUUACUGGGCGUAAAGGGCUCGUAGGUGGCCAACUAAGUCAGACGUGAAAUCCCUCAGCUUAACUGGGGAACUGCGUCUGAUACUGGAUGGCUUGAGUUUGGGAGAGGGAUGCGGAAUUCCAGGUGUAGCGGUGAAAUGCGUAGAUAUCUGGAGGAACACCGGUGGCGAAGGCGGCAUCCUGGACCAAGACUGACACUGAGGAGCGAAAGCCAGGGGAGCAAACGGG
rnacentral:rRNA from 1 species